GAUGAAGAACGUAGCGAAAUGCGAUAAGUAGUGUGAAUUGCAGAAUUCAGUGAAUCAUCGAAUCUUUGAACGCACAUUGCGCCCCUUGGUAUUCCAUGGGGCAUGCCUGUUCGAGCGUCAUUUGUACCUUCAAGCUCUGCUUGGUGUUGGGUGUUUGUCUCGCCUCUGCGUGUAGACUCGCCUCAAAACAAUUGGCAGCCGGCGUAUUGAUUUCGGAGCGCAGUACAUCUCGCGCUUUGCACUCAUAACGACGACGUCCAAAAGUACGUUUUUACACUCUUGACCUCGGAUCAGGUAGGGAUACCCGCUGAACUUAAGCAUAUCAAUAAGCGGAGGA
rnacentral:misc_RNA from 1 species